GCCGGAGUAGCUCAGUUGGUAGAGCGGCGCACUCGUAAUGCGCAGGUCUGGAGUUCGACUCUCCACUCUGGCU
rnacentral:tRNA from 1 species